rnacentral:lncRNA from 1 species
AAUUUCUGCAAAAUUCGUAACCCUAAGGAACUUGGGAAGAAGAUGACAUAAUUACGAUUAUGCCAUUAAUGAAUUAAUUAUUUUUAAAAAUCGCGUACACGUAGAGAUGUGUACAUAUGUACAUUCUAAGUGUACAUGUUUAUUAAUUAAGUGUACAUGUUGAUGUUUGUGAAAACCAUUAAAAUCACCAAUAUAUUAUGUACACCACUUUCAUCUUUUGUGUUUCCUGAUAUUUUUUGUUUUGAUUUUACACAUCUGAAAUAUAAUGUGUAUAAUCAUGUUGCAUUUGUACAUUCCAAUUCCAAACCAUAAAUACAAAAUUGCAUUUUUUUUGGAGAAAAUCAACAUUUAUUUUUGGUAAACGAUGUAUUGUGAUUUUGCAUAGUUUUAUGUAUUAAAAUUUUCUGAAGUUGUACACCUUGAUUUGGAACUAGUUAUCUUGAAUCAUUUAUCUACCACCCAUGAGUUCUGCUUUGUCAUAUUAUAUAAAUCUUUCAGUUACUGUCUUGUUUCAUAUUGUUACAUGUUACCAACAAAUAACCAAUUGAUUGCAUUUAGAUUGAGCUAAAUGACAUGUAUUCUUAGUUCUUGAAAUCCUCUAGAGUUUGGAUUGACACCUUAAGUACUACAACUACUAAAGAAUUAAACUUAUCCCACAUCA